GACGAACGCUGGCGGCGUGCUUAACACAUGCAAGUCGAACGGAAAGGCCUCUUUCGGGGGGUACUCGAGUGGCGAACGGGUGAGUAACACGUGAGUAACCUGCCCUUGUCUUUGGGAUAACUUCAGGAAACUGGGGCUAAUACCGGCUAGGAGCUCCUGCUGCAUGGUGGGGGUUGGAAAGUUUCGGCGGUUGGGGAUGGACUCGCGGCUUAUCAGCUUGUUGGUGGGGUAGUGGCUUACCAAGGCUUUGACGGGUAGCCGGCCUGAGAGGGUGACCGGCCACAUUGGGACUGAGAUACGGCCCAGACUCCUACGGGAGGCAGCAGUGGGGAAUAUUGCACAAUGGGUGGAAGCCUGAUGCAGCAACGCCGUGUGCGGGAUGACGGCCUUCGGGUUGUAAACCGCUUUCGCUCAUGACGAAGCUUUGUGUGACGGUAGUGGGUAAAGAAGCACCGGCUAACUACGU
rnacentral:rRNA from 1 species